GUGCUUGGCUUCAGAAGCACAUAUGCCAAAAUAAUUAGAACGAUACAGAGAAGAUUAGCAUGGCCCCUGCACAAGGAUGACAUGCAAAUUUGUGAAGCGUUCCAUAUUUUU
rnacentral:snRNA from 2 species